GACGUAGGUGGCGAACGUUAUCCGGAAUUAUUGGGCGUAAAGGGUGCGUAGAUGGCCUGAUAAGUUAGCAGUGGGAAAUCGAGGCUCGACCUCGUGGAAGCUGGUAAUACUGUCAGGCUCGAGUGCAGGAGAGGUUAACGGAACUCCAUGUGGAGCGGUAAAAUGUGUAGAUAUAUGGAAGAACACCAAUAACGGCGAAGGCAGUUAACUAUUCUGUUACUGACAUUGAGGCACGAAAGCGUGGGGAGCAAAACGG
rnacentral:rRNA from 1 species